UAUAUUUUGCUCCUCUGAUCUCUCUCUCUCUUUCUGGAUGCAAGUUUCCAGCCACAGAGUUGCCCAGCACAGAGACAGUUUUGCUGUGUUCCUACUUGGUGUUUCUGUAGCAUCAACAAUCUUGUGCCAGAGCACUUGUCUCCUCAGUCAGUUUAGGAAGGGGCACAGAGAGGCAGGAUCCACUUCCCUGUGCAACACAAAGCCAGUUUUGCACCAACCUUUCUGGAAAGCUUUUCCAUUCUUCUGUAAGCAGACCUCUCCCAAAAGGUAAACUGCAGCACUUUGCAUUUGAGGGAGAGUUUUCAAAGCAGUUUGUCCCUUGAGCUCCACACACUCACUGCACCCACAGUUAACUCUUGAGAAAAGUCCUCCACCUCUCCCCACCAACUGCUCCCUUCUGAUCAUAGUGCAUGAGGAAAAUAAACACCACAGGCAAUCAAUGGAAAAAAAUCCUAAACAAAACUGUUUCUCUAAUUUCACGGAGUCUCAAAAUCCUUCACAUAUCAGUGUCAGCUCCUAUUUCCAAGCAACCAUUAUUAAUCCUCUAUCUACAUCUCCUCAACAAACAAAAAAUUCUCCCCCCCCAAAAAAAAAGAAAAAAAGAAACAAGGAAAAAGAUGCAGCAAUUCUACUGCAGAUACCUUUUAGCAAUCACAAGCAGAACUCAGAUGUUCAGGCUUCCUGAACACACAGUAAUCCUGCCUCUUCAGCAGCACAGAGGUGUGACACAAUGCAGAGAUAAGGCACAGACAGCAGUUGCAUCACUAAAGAUUAUUCAUUAGCCCUGGGCAGCACGUUCUCAGACUUUAAAAGGAAAAUAAGUCUGGUGUUGGCCAUUCCUGAGCCGGAUCCCAGGCGGGUUAGUCACCAAUAACCAGUUUGGAGAAACACCUCGAGGAUCAAUGUUGUCAUUUCCCCAAAGGUGGAAGAGUUUCUUUUGCCUCUUACCCCAACACCUGUCCCAGUUACUACCCUGGAGUGGGGGUUUAGGUCGGUGGGGAUCCUCCCUCAGCACUCAGUGCACUCGAGUCACUGGUGGCACUGGAGGUGCACUUUUUACAUGCUCCCAGGCUAAGAUGAGAGCUACUGUUGACUUCACCUCUCACAAGCUUCCCAAAAGCUUAUUUGUGCCAAAGACAUUCCUUGUAAACUCCACCAGUUGUAAUGAGCGUGAUGAUAUGUGAAGCUGGUUGUGCUCCAACACUGAGAGAGUUAUUUGCUCCAUCUCAAGAGACUGCAAAGCAACCGGGUAAGGCUGCUUGUAAGCAGCCUUUGGUUUUAGGGGAAAACACCUCAUGAAGUACUUAGUGCCGUACCCUACCCUCAGGAAGAUUGCUCCUUCUAACAUAUUUGGCUUAUACAGUGUUUGUUCUCCCAGCUGAGGAGCAUCAAAUCCUGACCCCCCUCCAAGUGAUGGGAAAGAACUCCAGCACGUGCAACAGGCCCUGCCAAUUUUGUCUGGAGCAGAGGGAGCAGAACAUCUGGCUCAGCACGGGCAAAUCGGAUCCCUCAGACUUAUCCAACUUCUGCAUGCAUGCCUGUACCAGUGUGUGCUCCACCAGUGAUUACAUCUUCCAACAGGGAGCUGUGACCAGACCUGCACUUGGGAUGCAGACAGCAAUGCUGGAGACUGCUCCACCAGGACUUCAACACCUGGCUUUCUGUCUAAGUUCUCUCCAACCAGAGUAACAAACCAUGGCAAUCAAGUUUCAUGGAGGACUGGUAACAGCCAUACCUGACGUGUUUCCUCUGGCUGCCCAGCCACCAUUUUCAGAGCCACAGAACCCUGCUCUCAUUAUACAGACCAGACAUUAUGAUUCUUCACUUCCCAGCCUUGGCUAUACAAAAUAAAUUAAUCUGCCUCCCACAGCCAUCCCCCAGGAACCCCAGGCAGCAUUUGGGUGCAGUGCUGAGUCGUGGUGAUCUGCAGCACAGCAGGUGCAGAAAGAGUUCACAAAUCGCUGCUGGACGGACUCUCGGUUUUGGGGGGGGGUGGCAGGAGGAUCAGGUCACAACAGGUAACCGGCCCGGUUUCAACUGAUGUGGCAUCUCUUUUACAGCUAGAUGAAAGCCAAUACCCUCAUGGAAGCAAAGACUUCCCUGGCACUGAAGAGACAGAUCCCUUUGAGAAGGGCUCAUUAACAAAAUGCCCCCCUCACACUCACUGUCAGGCCGGAUCAGUUAACGCUACACAGGCUCGGGAGAGCCCUGGUUCCAAUCCUGCCGGCAGAGCUGGGGGAGCACAGCCACACAGACAGAAAGCUGCAGGAUAAAGCACAGCCCCAGCCUGCAGCUGACCCAAAGGCUCACUCGGGCUCAGCAGGAGUGUGUGCACUGCCCACGUAAGAGACACCAGACAGGGAAGAACGGAUAUUAGAAAACAGAAUACUAGAAGACAGAGUGUUUAAGCUCUGACUAUGCAAAACCAUUUCUACACACUUAGGAGAAGGUGUAUCUAUGGCUUAGUGUAAUACCCUAUACAUAUUACAAAUAACGAAUGUCUGCUCACUUUCCCUCUUCUGAAAGCAGAUGCUGUUUCAGAAAGUUGCCUAAAGAAGCUCAGCAAAUGCACACCAAUAUUUACUCCUGUCCUAGACGGUUUCAACAAAAGGCUCCUUACUCCCAAAUCAGCACAAAAGUGUUUGCAGAACAGGAUCAAUAACAAGCAAAUCCGAGCAGAAGGGAUAGGAGGGAGACAAUGAAAGUGCAAGCUGUGCUUUUCCUCAUCCAUCCACCUCAUCAGCACAUCAGUCACCAGCCCGGCUGUGUUCAGCCCCACUAACUGUUCUCACCACGGAGAUGCAACGCAAUCAAAGCCUUAUUCUGGAGCUAUCACCUUUCUCGAGCCUCAUUUGUUCAACUGGACCUAGAACAAAUAAAAAUUGAAUAAACCAAAAUAUCCCAGAAGAACCCUUUCCACGUAAGGGAAGUGUGCUGCUCAUCCCUAGUUACCCGAGAAGUACCUGAUUUCUUUUCUCAAACAGGAUUAUGUGCUGCCUCGCUGCAGGUUACAUCACCUUCCUGCACUCCCACAGCAGCACCUCAGCUCACCCUGCGCUGUGCCCAGGCACAAGGAGCUUUGGAAGAGAAGCAGCAGCAGCCACAGUAAUCUCAUUCGUGUGCCAGUGAGCAAAGCACGGGGCACUGGGCACAGUGGCACAUCUCGUGCUCCCUGAGGGGGAGCCUGCCUGGGCUGUGCACACUCUGGAGCCGCUCCUUACAGCCGAGAGCUGGGAUGGGGUUGGCAGCAAGAAUCUCCCCUGUUGCCUCCUCAGAGCCACACAGGAUCCCAGUUUGAGGCCGGCUGUUCCCGGCACACAAGCACUGACCUCGUUCUUCACACACUGACGCUUUAGGAUUCCAUCACAGGAGGGAAAACAACACUCUGGAGGUCCAGUGCUAAUCCUGGGCAACACUUACCGAAAGGGAUCCUUGGGAGCGAAGUAAGCUGGGGCAGACAAGUAACUUCCCAUCUUCAACACUGGAUAAACCGGCUCAGCCACAAACUCGUCCAACUGCCUCUGAACAGCCCUGUUCUGCCAACAUGGCAGCAGCCAGGGCUCAUUUACUCUUGCGCUGAUUCAGAUACUUCACCUCUCUUUGAAGCUGCCCAAGGAAUGCCAGGUCUCUCGGCUGCUCAUUCCUUUUCAGACUUUUCCUGGCUCCCAUGGCUAUAACCAUCUCCUCCCGCACUCCGCAGCAGCAGCACCUCGGGAAGGACAGAAUCCCUGCUAACCGGGCUAGUUGGACAUGCUGCUGCAGUGGUUCCUGCGAGCUCUGCUGCCUGCUAACUAUUGUCAAGUUUUCCCUUCCCUGGUUCCACCCAAGGGUGGGAGGGGAGGAGGAGCCAUGGCAGGCGGACAGCGGCGGCUCCAGAGCCUCAACAGGCUCUGCUCCUUCACAGGGGUGGAGCUCUGACCCAAAGAGGGGCUGCGUAUUCAGUGCUGAAAGAGAGCGGCUUUGGCCACAGGAUACAAGCACAAACACGUGAAGCUUCUCUUUGCAGCAGCGGCACACUCUGACGGAGAAGUCAAGGAAGACAACAAGCCGCAUCUCCAAACACAUCAAAUUAACGUUUACUAUAAACAUUCCUAAACCCCGCACAGUGAGUGGGGUUGUACCGCCCUCACAGCACCUACAAUCCCUUCACCCUCCUGCAGGAGGUAACUCACAGUGUGCUGCAGCCAAGGAAAAAUAGCUUCCUUUCCAACACUGUUUUAACAGAGAUCAUUACAAUCCUUUAACCUAAUCUUCGUCUCCUGACUGGAAGCUGAGGUAUAAAUCAGCACAGAGCACUCUCUCCCGCUCGCAGCACAUACAGUUGUAUCAUUGUGCUCGUCUGAAGCCAAGCAUGAUCUCUAGUGACCUAAUCAGCUAAAGCUGCUCGCAAGACACUCAGAAAUGCACCAAACAUGUGCUGCUGCACCGAGCCUACCCCUUUCUGUACAGUCAGCAAAGCCUGGCAUGCCUGAACACAGCCUGCAAACCGUGCUCAGCUCCAGCACUCCAAUGUGCUUUUCCUGGAGAUGCUCGUCUCAGCUGGCACACUGUUCCAGGGACGCUUGGGGCUGGAACAAGGCAGGCUUGGCUGCAGAUUUGACAGCUGCUGCUCGCUGUUGAAGUAAGCAGAAAGCCAGGCAGCUUUUUGGGUUGUUUUUUUUUUUUUUUUUAUUCCCCCCUCCUCCCCCCUUUUUUUUAACUUUUAAUAAGCAGGCACCUUUCGGAAGGGAAAAAAGCAUCCCCAUUCCCCCCUCUGAGUGCAGUUUGUAAGCCCGGCUGUAAAAGCGCAGUGAAGCCCAGUGCUGCAGAGCCCGAUGUGCUCGGCAGUUCCAGCACGGGUCUAAUUCCUUCUGACAUUUCACACAGCUCGACUGGAAGCGGCAACACGGUGAGUCUGUGUCUAGGAAUGCGCUCUGGUCUCCCACAUUCUCUAUAUGUUGCGUGCUGAAAAGGGGCCAGCGCUCGCAAUCCAGCGCUUCCCCGGCCACCGGCACCUCCCCACCGCGCACAGACCCCCAGCGCCUGCCGAGCCCUCCCCGCCUGCCUCACCUACAGACAAAAGCUUUGCCCCGCAAUUCUGCUGCCAGGGGCUGAACGCCCUCCAAGGGGGAUUCCACGUGACCUCAUAAAUCCCAACUCUUCAGACAAAACCUUUGAAGAUUUGAUCCACAGAUGUGAUAAGCAGCCAGCUAGUCUGUGAAUGAAGCCAGCAGAUAAAGCCCAACUUCAAAGUAAUAAAAACCACCCAGACAGCUAAGCAACUAGGAAAGGAUUUUGUUUAAGACUUCCUUAAAGCCAAAGGACACAUAGUCAAAUGUCUAUUUAAACAGGAAACAUCUUAUCAAAAUGAUUUUACUUUUGCAGCAAGCCCCAGCAGCAGCAGCCAGUAAGUUACUUUUGGCUACACAGAAUUCUCUUGUUACUUCUUGCCUUUUCUGUUGUCUCUAUGACCUAUUUGAGAACACAAUGUCUCUGAUAAAAGGGCUCUGGAAAAGGUGUUAAUGUGUUCCUACAUUCUAGAUCUGAAUUCCUGCCAGAAUGACUGUACUUCAAAAAUGCUGAUAAACAGGUGGUGGGGAGGGGGGACUUUUUCUAUGUCAUUUCUGGGGGGCCACAAUGCACCGAAGCAAAUUUCUUUUUCGCCAGGUGAAGUCAGAUAUCAGCAUUUUCUCUCUUGCAAACGCUGACAGCAUUUCCACUACAAACAGGUUGCAAUCACGGGAGGGAGUUGUCUUCCUCAUUAUGGUUUAGAACUGUGCAGUAACUUUUGCCAGAAGGGCUGUAAUAAAUAAAAAGGAACACACGAAAAACCUCGACAAUGACUUACACGAUGUUUAUCAUCAACUGAGUCGCAGGCAUUAGAUUUACCCCCACAGAAGUGCAUCACACAGCUACUGUGAUACAGCAGGUAUAUCUUAACCGAGCUGGGGUUGGGCUGAAGCUCUCAACACCCUCUUUACCACACAGCUCCUGCAUGUCUGCAGACAGAUGUAUUGCUCAGCACAUCCACCAGCCCUAAGACACACAGAUUUAUCCUGGCACAGACAGGCACUUGGAUACAUGUGGGACCGGGGGAAGAGGAGUCUGCAGCCAGCCUUUCUCUCAGCAUGGGCGCAGUUUGGAGGCAUUCCAAAUACUUCAGUACAAUCCCAACACCUCACUGCAAUUCCAAGGCACUUACAUAUAACACGUGCCUUGCUGCUGUUGAAAGCCAGAGUCAGCUCCUGAAACCAAUCUCGUUUGGAUCUGCACGUACCUCCCAGAGCUCCUGCCCAGGGAUCCUGAGUAAAUUAAACAAACAGCGAAGCAAAGCCCACCUCCAUCGCUGCAUUACUUCUAAGCACCAGCACAACUUCAGAACAACACAGCGAGGAGGCUUCUCGGUGCCUCACAUCACUAAACACAUUAGGGUGGAGACAGGAUUUUUACCUGCACCACACUCACCCAGUGGCUGCAGAUCUCCUGAAUGUGUGUGGGCUGAGAAGCAAACCAAAGAAAUUCAACCUACUGGUACCUCAUAGGUUAUAUAUGGCUUGGGGAGCAGUGACUUCUGCACAAACAGCAGUAACACUGGCACUUCCACCACUGCACCCUCACUCCUCGGUCUGUGCAGAAUGCUGAACUCCUUGGGGAAGGAUCCCCUCUCACUCCAGUGGAAAGCCUACCACAGUCUGGGCUGUGGCAGGAAGCUGCUUUUGGAAAAUGAAGGCCUGUGCCAGUUUGAACCAACAGAAGUGAUCUAAAGUCCAGAAAAUACAGUCUGGAGAAAAAAGACCCUUGGAGGAGGUGGAUCCGUGGUACCUGGAGGAGGUCGCCCGUCGUUUAUGUUGAAGGCUGUUGCAAAUAUACCAAAGGGAAACGCCCCAAUUCCAAAGGACAUCUGGAAGCCACCAUCACCAAAGCCAAAGCCCUGGAAUCCCUGCAGAGAACAAAGCAGCAGGAGACAAAAA